UCCCUGGUGGUCUAGUGGUUAGGAUUCGGUACUUUCACUGCCACAACCCAGGUUUGAUUCCUGGUCAGGGAA